GUUUUAAAGAGGUAUGCAGUUGCAACACGACGCUGAUGUCUGGGAAAGGGAACUUAUUUUCAGGAGUACUGAUAUUGGCCUUCCAGAUACUGGCAUCGCAGGAGAGGAAGCCUGCAUUCUUAUCUUAAGUGUCAACAGACAUUUGCAAGCAACAGCUAAAAGAAUGGCUACAAUGUAUCAGACUGGCUUCCAGGUCUGCUUAAGCUGGUGGUCUGGUAAACUGAAAAAAACACACUGCUAAGGCUGUGAGAAAAGCAGAAGGAAGCCCAGGAGGGCAAAAGGAGGAAAGAGCCUGGCGCAGGCCAAACGCUAGACAGUUGUGAGAGCUGGAGAUUUUUCAAAAAGUGGAUCCAUCACGAUGUUUCUAGAAGAGCAUA
rnacentral:lncRNA from 1 species